rnacentral:sRNA from 1 species
AGAGAUGUGUGUGGAUGCCCGUACUUUCGGUAAUGAUGCUCGGUUCAUCAGAAGAUCAUGUACACCAAAUGCAGAGGUGCGACACAUGAUUGCAGAUGGGAUGAUUCACCUGUGCAUCUAUGCUGUGUCUGCCAUCACCAAGGAUGCUGAGGUCACCAUAGCAUUUGAUUAUGAGUAUAGUAACUGUAAUUAUAAAGUGGACUGUGCCUGUCACAAGGGAAACCGGAAUUGUCCUAUACAAAAAAGGAAUCCUAAUGCUACAGAACUGCCACUCCUACCACCUCCUCCAAGCCUACCCACCAUUGGAGCAGAGACUAGACGUAGAAAAGCACGACGGAAAGAGCUAGAGAUGGAGCAGCAGAAUGAGGCUUCAGAGGAGAAUAAUGACCAGCAGUCACAAGAAGUUCCAGAAAAAGUAACUGUAUCCAGUGAUCAUGAGAGCUUGAGUACAGCUGAAUAUUGCCUCUAUCUUAAAGGAAGUAGACAAUCCAGAAGAAAAACCAGAAGAGAAAGAAGAGGUUAUAGAUGACCAGGAGAACCUAGCUCAUA